rnacentral:rRNA from 1 species
UACGUAGGGGGCUAGCGUUGUCCGGAAUCAUUGGGCGUAAAGCGCGUGUAGGCGGCCCGGUAAGUCCGCUGUGAAAGUCGGGGGCUCAACCCUCGGAUGCCGGUGGAUACUGUCGGGCUAGAGUGCGGAAGAGGCGAGUGGAGUUCCUGGUGUAGCGGUGAAAUGCGCAGAUAUCAGGAGGAACACCGAUUGCGAAGGCAGCUCGCUGGGACGUUACUGACGCUGAGACGCGAAAGCGUGGGGAGCAAACAGG